UUAAAUUGAAGAGUUUGAUCAUGGCUCAGAUUGAACGCUGGCGGCAGGCCUAACACAUGCAAGUCGAACGGUAACAGGAAGCAGCUUGCUGCUUCGCUGACGAGUGGCGGACGGGU
rnacentral:rRNA from 28 species